CGCGCCGCCCCGCCCGCGGUUAUGCAACUGCUGCGGAAACUUUGGGCACAGGACGGCCCUCGAGGCCGGGGCCGGGUGGCCGUCGGAGCCCGUCCCGCCCUCGUUCCAUCCCGCGUCGCUCUUGCCGUGGCGCUGUCAGCCGGGUGGAUCGGCUGGUCUCUACGCCGCCGGGACCCCGCGCGGAGCGGCUGCCCCGGUCCAGCCCCAGCUCGUGGUGCCCAGGGAACCUUUGUCUCUGCCACGCUAAUAAGCUUUGCUUCGAAACCGUUGUUCAGAAAAUUAAUGGGUGAUACUAAUUUCCGGAAGCAAAAUGAUGCUUAAAUUAGUUCAAGUACAAGUUUCAUUGCAUGGUUUAGCGAUGCUAUGGCGAUGGGGAGGAAUGAAGCAUUCGUAUUGAUAUGGACAGCAACCACUUCGCUGUGGUUUGGAUAAGGUUUGGCCCUUUGCUGGCGAGUACAAGACCUGUGCAGAGCUGUAUCAUAAAUCCUUCCAGCUCACUGUCCGUAGGGGCAAUUUCAAGUGCAGGUGUGAUGCUUCGUGGAUCUCUGCUGACUGCCCAUUCAGUCACUUGUCUUUGGUUUAGCCUAUACUAGAAACCAGAGCUGUCAUCAAAAUGCAUAGCUGAGGUUUUCUAUAAUUAAUACAUACAACUGUUGUUUUAAUCUUGUCUCAUUUUUUGGUGCACUUGGAAUAACUUUUGAAUGGUGAUGUGACCAAAAAUUGUUUAAAUUCAGUAGCUGUGCCUAUAAAGAAUAAUACUGUUCACUUUCCAACUUCAGUGUUGGUUUUUACAGAAGGACACAUCCAGUGUUUUUAUGACUACACACAUAGAGAUAUCACACAUUGGCUAAACAAACAGGACUCUAUUUUAGUCACACAUUUUGCUGUUUUAUUUCUGCAUUUUGGACAGACUCCAGGCUAUGCUGAUGAUAAGAAUACAGCCUCAGUAGUCAGAAUCUACACUAGAAAAGUCUUAAGUGACAUGUCCAUUCAAGGGAAGGCUCUGACAGUCUCAUUUAUGGGGCCAUCUCAUCUAUGUUAAUUAGACCACUUUCAUAAGCAUAUCAUCUUAUGGCCUCACCUGCCCUACAGAGGCACCGGCCGCCAGUGCUGCUUGCCAUGUAGUCACACUCACCAGCAUGGUUUAAGUGCUAAGCCCUCAGCAGCUACCCUGGAUGCUGUGAAGACAGAGAAGCAAGAACUUGAAGAGGUGUAGACCAGUUCCAACCUCACCUAAAGGCAAAUCUGCCUUUCCAAUAAUUAAGUCUAAACUCUGCUGCCGAGCAGCUGCUUUUCCAGGCUUGCUACUUCCCCCCAGAACAACCUGAAAGGUACAAUUUAAAAGUAAGAUGCUCGGUGUAAAGGAUUUUUCUCCUUCCCUCUCUCCUUGAGUCUGUUUGUGGAUCACUGCCAGAGUUUGAGCUUCUCUCAGUUUCACCCAGGUUCAAGGUUUACCUUUGACAAUCCUCAAUUGAGGUAAUUUUUUGUAAAAGGAAACGAAACCACUGUUACAGCUUUUCCUUCUACAAUAUUGCAACACACUGCACAAAGGAACAUGCAGGCUCUCUAGUGACAUUCUGUAUUCUCAACAUCUGCUUUCAACUGACCAUUUUACUCAGAAUCCCCAAGGAAAACCCUCCCCCUUCUGUUAGCACAUGCUUCAGGAUAUGAUCCAUGUGUAGACUGCCAGCACUUACCAUGAUGCCAAUCAGCUCCAUAGCAGUUGGAUUUUUUAAAACAUUUAAGAGAAAAUGGUAAAUAUGUUCAGAUUCAUCAGGCAGUAGUGACACAAAAAGUUUCUAGGAUUUGUAUCUAGAACUCCUAUUUUGCUGCCCUGAGUUCCAGACUCAGGCUGUAGUGAGCAGAGAUGGAAUGAGAGAUUGUAUUGAGAAUGAGAAUGAGAGAUGUAUUGGCUCUUCUUGUGUUUCAUCUGAAAACAGAGGUCAAUUACAUAAAAAACACUAAUCAAAAAUCCCAAAUAGUAACAUUUGAUCACAUUUUAUUACCACGUACUAUAUAUGAAGAUGUUUCUGUGAAAAAGGUCACCAUGUAUAGAUGGUUGUGUUGGUUUUGCACACUCUGGUUUUUGGUAGUGGGAAGCCACAGAGGUGGCUUCUGUGCGAAGCUGCUAGA